rnacentral:rRNA from 1 species
GGGGGAAUUUUCCGCANGUGGGCGAUAGCNNCUGACGGAGCAAUACCGCGUGAGGGAGGAAGGCUCUUGGGUCGUAAACCUCUUUUCUCAGGGAAGAACACAAUGACGGUACCUGAGGAAUAAGCAUCGGCUAACUCCGUGCCAGCAGCCGCGGUAAUACGGAGGAUGCAAGCGUUAUCCGGAAUGAUUGGGCGUAAAGCGUCCGCAGGUGGCUAUGUAAGUCUGCUGUUAAAGCGUCUAGCUCAACUAGAUAAGAGCAGUGGAAACUACAAGGCUAGAGUGCGUUCGGGGCAGAGGGAAUUCCUGGUGUAGCGGUGAAAUGCGUAGAGAUCAGGAAGAACACCGGUGGCGAAGGCGCUCUGCUAGGCCGCAACUGACACUGAGGGACGAAAGCUAGGGGAGCGAAUGGGAUUAGAUACCCCAGUAGUCCUAGCCGUAAACGAUGGAUACUAGGCGUGGCUCGUAUCGACCCGAGCCGUGCCGUAGCUAACGCGUUAAGU